CCUACGGGCGGCAGCAGUGAGGAAUAUUGGUCAAUGGGCGUAAGCCUGAACCAGCCAAGUCGCGUGAGGGAUGAAGGUUCUAUGGAUCGUAAACCUCUUUUAUAAGGGAAUAAAGCGCGGGACGUGUCCCGUUUGGUAUGUACCUUAUGAAUAAGGAUCGGCUAACUCCGGGCCAGCAGCAGCGGUAAUACGGAGGAUCCGAGCGUUAUCCGGAUUUAUUGGGUUUAAAGGGUCCGUAGGGGGCCUUUUAAGUCAGGGGUGAAAGUCUGUGGCUCAACCAUAGAAUUGCCGUUGAAACUGGGUGGCUUGAGUGUGUUUGAGGCAGGCGGAAUGCGUGGUGUAGCGGUGAAAUGCUUAGAUAUCACGCAGAACCCCGAUUGCGAAGGCAGCCUGCCAAGCCAUGACUGACGCUGAUGCACGAAAGCGUGGGGAUCAAACAGGAUUAGAUACCCGAGUAGUC
rnacentral:rRNA from 1 species